rnacentral:lncRNA from 1 species
GCUCGCCGCCGUGAGCAACAGCCUCUUGUCCUCGUCUCCUUGAAAGUGGCGGCCUCUUACCUUAACCUCUUUUUUGAGGAACUGUUUUUCAAGACCAUGGUGAUGGUGUCUGGCAUCGACUCAGCGAGGUUGCUGUCCUCGCCUCCAUGGCCACGUUUGUCGGGCUGAGUUAGGUGGCCACUCUCCGACGGCGGAGUCGAGCGCGGCGUCGCAUUUCCAGUCCGCAGGAGCCGAGGGCGGCGCGGGUGAAACCAACGGGAUUGGCGCUCGCUCUCAUACUCGCCCUCGCCUCCGUGGCCAUGGCCGCCAAGCUGCCCUUGACCAACCUUCCCGUGGCCAUCCUGAGGAGCAGCCAAGUCAACCCCGACGAGUUCGGCGCCCACAGCUCCGACUUCGAGGCCGAGAACGGCA